ensembl:snRNA U6 U6 spliceosomal RNA
GCUCGCUUUGGCUGAACAUAUACUAAAACUGGAAUGACACAGACAAGAUCAGCAUGGCCCUUGUAUAAGGACAACAAACAAAUUUGUGAAGCGUUCCAUUUUUUU